UACGUAGGGUGCGAGCGUUAAUCGGAAUUACUGGGCGUAAAGCGUGCGCAGGCGGUUCGUUAAGUUCGUCGUGAAAGCCCCGGGCUCAACCUGGGAAUGGCGAUGGAAACUGGCGGGCUGGAGUGUGGCAGAGGGGGGUGGAAUUCCGCGUGUAGCAGUGAAAUGCGUAGAGAUGCGGAGGAACACCGAUGGCGAAGGCAGCCCCCUGGGCUAACACUGACGCUCAGGCACGAAAGCGUGGGGAGCAAACAGG
rnacentral:rRNA from 1 species